rnacentral:rRNA from 1 species
UACGUAGGGGGCAAGCGUUGUCCGGAAUCAUUGGGCGUAAAGAGCGUGUAGGUGGCUCGGUAAGUCCGCUGUGAAAGUCCAGGGCUCAACCCUGGAAAGCCGGUGGAAACUGUCGAGCUCGAGUCCGGAAGAGGCGAGUGGAAUUCCUGGUGUAGCGGUGGAAUGCGCAGAUAUCAGGAGGAACACCAAUGGCGAAGGCAGCUCGCUGGGACGGUACUGACACUGAGACGCGAAAGCGUGGGGAGCAAACAGG